rnacentral:lncRNA from 1 species
AAGACAAUUAAAACCCUGCAACAACUAUUAAUCUUUUCUUUUAUUUCAUUUUCUAAUAAAUUAUGCUAAUUAUCGAGUUGAACUACAUCCACGUGGAGACAAUAACUUACUGUUUUUUUUUUUUUACUAUAAUAUGAUUGAAUGCACUUGCCUAUUUCGUCCAUCAGGUACAUUUCUCAAUCAUCACAUGUACAAAAUCCAGUUCCGAAUUCAAGAAAUAAAAUUUUGGCUUUGUACACCUCGCUAUCUAAUAAAUUAUGCUAAUUAUCGAGUUGAACUACAUCCAUGUGGAGACAAUAACGUACUGUUUUUUUUUUACAUAAUAUGAUUGAAUGCACUUGCCUAUUUCGUCCAUCAGGUACAUUUCUCAAUCAUCACAUGUACAAAAUCCAGUUCCGAAUUCAAGAAAUAAAAAUUUUGGCUUUGUACACCUCGCUAUCUUAGGAAAUUUGCAAAACUCUAUUUUUAUACAAUCAUCUGUUUUUUUACAUCUCCAACCUGUUGGA